UUGCUCCCCCCUUGGGGGGUGAGGGGAGGCGGGCGGAAGGCUGCUAAGAUGCUCGGAGGGCCCCCCAGGAGGAGCUUAGAGACGCGGGCGAUGUAUCAACCCACACGGGCCGGGGCUGCCCGGAUCGCAGCUCUUCUGGCAAACAGACCUAUGGGACUUGACAGCGGUUCUGAAGAAGAAACGGCCCGGCCCUUGCGCGCACACACCUCCGGAACGGCCGCCCCCAGGGAGCCCUUGUGGGCAUAAGCGCUUCUUCAGUGAAUGCCAUCUCGAGGAACAAACGGUCUUUGCUUUGUUCCUGCCCCCGCCCCCGAUUAUUUGCUUGGCGGUCUAAGGAAGGACGGCUGCUUCUCACAGGCCAUCAGAACUACCUGGGGUGCUCGCUGACACGGAGAUUCCCGAACCCCACCUUGUGCAGACCUGCCAAGGUAGGGAGACUCUCUGAGAGUAAACCCAAAGCAUCUGCAUCUUACUAAGCACCUUAGAUGAUCCUUGUGACCGCAAAGUUCAGAAACGGCUGGGGGCUCAGCGGCUGAGCUUCUGCCUUCGGCCCAGGCCCAGGCCGUGACCCCGGGGUCCCGGGAUCGAGUCCUGCAUCGGGCUCCCCACAGGGAGCCUGCUUCUCCCUCUGCCUGUGUCUCUGCCCCUCUCUCUGUCUCUCAGGAAUAAAUAAGUAAAAUCUUAAAAAAAAAAACA
rnacentral:lncRNA from 12 species